rnacentral:rRNA from 1 species
AGGUGAACCUGCGGAAGGAUCAUUCCGUAGGUGAACCUGCGGAGGGAUCAUUA